rnacentral:rRNA from 1 species
GACGAACGCUGGCGGCGUGCUUAACACAUGCAAGUCGAACGGAAAGGCCUCUUUCGGGGGGUACUCGAGUGGCGAACGGGUGAGUAACACGUGAGUAGCCUGCCCUUGACUUUGGGAUAACUUCAGGAAACUGGGGCUAAUACCGGAUAGGAGCUCCUGCUGCAUGGUGGGGGUUGGAAAGUUUCGGCGGUUGGGGAUGGACUCGCGGCUUAUCAGCUUGUUGGUGGGGUAGUGGCUUACCAAGGCUUUGACGGGUAGCCGGCCUGAGAGGGUGACCGGCCACAUUGGGACUGAGAUACGGCCCAGACUCCUACGGGAGGCAGCAGUGGGGAGUAUUGCACAAUGGGUGGAAGCCUGAUGCAGCAACGCCGUGUGCGGGAUGACGGCCUUCGGGUUGUAAACCGCUUUCGCUCAUGACGAAGCUUUGUGUGACGGUAGUGGGUAAAGAAGCACCGGCUAACUACGUG